UUUAGAGUCCUCGGCGUCAGGAUGAACGGACUGGCGGCGUGCCUAACACAUGCAAGUAGAACGGAGUUAGUGUAAAGGAAAGUACUUCGGAGUGGAAAGUAGCAUAACUUAAGUGGCGGACGGGUGAGUAACGCGUGGGCAACCUGCCGUAUACAGGGGGAGUAACAACUGGAAACAAGUUGCUAACACCGCAUAAGCGCACAGUACUGCAUGGUACAGUGUGAAAAUCUGAGGAGGUAUACGAUGGGCCCGCGUCUGAUUAGCCAGUUGGCAGGGUAACGGCCUACCAAAGCGACGAUCAGUAGCCGGCCUGAGAGGGUGGACGGCCACAUUGGGACUGAGACACGGCCCAAACUCCUACGGGAGGCAGCAGUGGGGGGAUAUUGCACAAUGGGGGAAACCCUGAUGCAGCGACGCCGCGUGAGUGAAGAAGCAAUUCGUUGCGUAAAGCUCUAUCAGCAGGGAAGAAUAGAUGACGGUACCUGAAUAAGAAGCCCCGGCUAACUACGUG
rnacentral:rRNA from 1 species